rnacentral:rRNA from 1 species
UCCUGCCAGUUGUCAUAUGCUUGUUUCAAGGACUAAGCCAUGCAAAUGUCAGAGUACUCGUGUCUUGAUACGAGGGGUCUGUGUACGGCUCAUUAAACGGUUUAUAGUCUCCCCAACAAAGAGGGCAGUCAUGCCUUCCCAUGGGAUAUCUUUGCGAAACGCAAAGCUAAUACCUGUAAGAAAAAUCGCUUGCUAUCAAACACCAAGGGGCAACCUGGAAGUGUGGCGGGCGAUGUGUUUGGCCGAAACAAAAAUAGAUGCUCGAACAGAGCAGCUGUAAUUGUUGACGCAGGCCAAAGUCGCGAAAGCACAAUUCUGUGCGACGUUGGACGAAUUUACCACCUAUCAGGUAUUGAAGGUAGUGUAGUGGACUACCUUGCCUCUGACGGGUAACGGGGGAUUGGGGUUCGAUUCCGGAGAGGGUGCCUGAGAGACGGCAACCAUGACUAUGGUCAGCAGCAGGCGCGCAAAUUGCCCAAUGCCAACAAAUGGCGAGGCAGCGACGAAAAAUAGCAUUCCCUUAGGGGAUUUGCAAUGGACUGUACCCAAACAAACUGAUGAUUAUCUAUUGGAGGGCAAGUCUGGUGCCAGCAGCCGCGGUAAUUCCAGCUCCAAGAGCGUAUAUAAAUGUUGUUGCGGUUAAAAAGCCCGUAGUUGGAUUUGAGGAUGCUUCUUGUAUUCGACAUGUUGAAGGGGUUUCCUGGAUAUGUGUCGAGUACGCUUCGGAGGUAUCCUGACAUAUGCGGGAUUGUCCACUGGCCGAAGCUUCCUUAACUGGUAGCUGUCGCCGGGAUCAAUAGGAGCACAGGGGGUCAUGAGUACUGGAGGGCUAGAGGUGAAAUUCCAAGACCCCUCCAAGACUGACAUCGGCGAAAGCACUCGACUAUUGUGCUUUCAUUAAUCAAGGACGAGAGAUAGGGGAUCGAAGAGGAUUAGACACCCUCGUAGUCCUUUCUGUAAAUUCUGCAGACUUGGGAUCGGUCAGCGUUCUACUUUUUGACCUGAUCGGCACCUUCCUCCGACAUCGAGAAAUCAAAGUCUUUGUGUUCCGGGGGGAGUACAUUCGCAAGGCUGAAACUUAAAGGAAUUGACGGAGAACCACCACCAGUCGUGGAGUGUGUGGCUUAAUUCGACUCAACACGGGAAAUUUUACCAGGCCAGGACGUGGCGAGGAUUGCCAGAUUGAAAGCUCUUGCAUGAUUCCG